UGUUGUUUUGUCUAGCGGAUAGGGUGUUUGACUCCCAGUCGAAAGGUGCUGGGUUCGAUUCCCCAAUAUCCACACC